rnacentral:sRNA from 1 species
UAUCAAAGGAGGCAAUCUGAGCAUUCGA